UUGAUUCAUUUAUUUUCUCUCUUUCUGAGUUGGUUGUGUUUGUUUUUUAUAUUUUUGUUGUCUUCUUGUGGUAUUAUCAACUUGGUUUUCUCAAAUGACAAAGUUGCAGAUUGGGGGGCCCAAGAUGGGUUGGCUUUAGAUUAUGGUUGACCUUGUGGCUAUAAGCAUGGUGACACAAAGUUUGGUGGCUCGAAAUUGAAUUGGAAAUAUUGGCACAUUGACUAAAGAUUUUUUCUUCUUUCCUUAGUUGUCAACUUGUGUUCAAGCAUGUGUCAGAUUUAUGAAAUCGUUCCAAUCUCAAAAAGUCUUGAAAGAUAUGUUUGUGUUGGGAAAAGUAAGAGACAAAGCGUGGCCAAAACAUGGAAAAACCGUGGUUCAAAAUAUGGAAGAAAACAUGCAAAAGAUGCAGUAAGAAGUCAGCAAAAUCAGCUGGUCUCGUUUCUCACAAUCGCGCCCGCGGUAAAGGACAUCGCGCCGGGGCCAAGUCGCGACCAAAUCAGCUCCAGAAGUUGGCUCUACAUCCCGCAAAGGAUGGUCGCGGCCGCGAUAAUGACCACAGCUGUGACCAUGUGGUCCGCAGCAGCGAGAAAGCCCUGCGCCAGGCCUAUUUAAGACAGGUUCGGCUGGUUUAUUUUGUAUCUCUCAUACUUAUAUUCGGAGCACUCUCUCCUAAGUUUUUCUGGAUAUUUUUAUCUUUUGAAAGAUCAUUUUUAUGAGUGAGAAAUACAUUUGUGAGAGAGAGAUCAUUUUGUUGUUGAGAGAUUUUGCUAAGUGUUUAAGAGUGAACUUUCUAGUGAGGAUUUUGUUGUAUUACUCUCGUUUGCUUGAUGAUUCAUUAGCAACCAAGAACUUCAAAGCUAAUCAUCAAGUUGUAAUAAGUCCUUCACUCCUUUCGAUUGUGAACCUUCUUGGCGGAUUCCAAAAUUGUAGACUUCGGUGGAUUCCGAAGUCAUUGGGGUCAUGGUGAUUCAACAAUUGUUAAGGAGGUCCAGUGGAGGAAGAAGAGUGACCCGUAGGUCGAGCAAAUAUGCGUGAGCCCGGAGUGGCCUUUACUGUUGUUCAUCGAAGUUUUGCAGUAGUAGAUAAUCUUGGUGAAGUUUCUGCAAACGCACAGUGUGCUUCGAUAGCCUUGGUCUUAUGCUUGUGCCUUGAACAUUUUGUUCAGAAACAAUCUAAGGUUGCAAGCAAGUUUGCCUUUUGUUGUGUGCCCAAUCUUCUCAGCAAUCGACCUCAUUGGAGUUUAUCAAGGUUUGAAGCAUGUUCAUCUACAGACAUUAACUAAGGUUGGCCUUUUAUGCUUGUACUAAACUAACAGUCAUUCUGUUGACAUUAUUGGGUGUGUAUAUGAGAACUUCAAUAAAGGUGUUGCUCACAUAUUGAGACUACUUUGUGUUUUUAAAGAAUGUAAAUUUUGCUCCCUAUUUGAUGAGUUCCCCUCAUGUACUAUCUCGAGUUUUUGGCUUUAGUCUCCCAUAGGUAAGUUGUGCCUGACAAGCUAAUGCUCAAAAAAUGUUUUAUUGAUAGAUUCCUAAAAAUGUUUGGAUAUCAUGCCUCCAUUAGAUAACUUGUUUAUGCAUUACAUUCUCUUGAUUUUUUUUUUCCUUCAUUAAUCAACCCUUUUUUUUUUUGGUUGUCUUGCUAUCAAAAUUCAAAACCAGUUUCAAUAGGUAAUCAGUAAUUACUGUGCCAUUGCCUGCAACAAACCACAUCAUUUUUAUUGUGCCAUUGCUUGCUUCAAGCCACCCACAGAAACAAAUUCCCCAACUCCUUUGUGUGAUGUUCUUGGAAAUGAGUCCCCGUUGGAGUACAUAUUCUCCAACAAUGCUCCAUUGUUUCAGGGAUGAAGGAAAUGUCUGUAUUCUCUUUAGAAUGCUUUGUAGUAUUGCUUCUUAUUAUCCAUUUCUCGUUGUCAAGAUAGGCUUGAGAUUAUAAUUAAUACUUGGAUUCAGUUGGGAUGUAUUCCUUCACCAGCAGAUGUGAGUGAAGAGGAAGGUAUUGAUUUCAUGUGGAACAAAGGUGAGGUCUUGCACCUUAAUUUUUCCAUAAAUAUGUUUAUUGCUUUUAUAUGGGGUGCUUUAGAAUUGGAUACUGGCAUUUAGUGAGAUUUGGAUUAGGCAGAGGAUCGUGGCCCAUAAGAAUUGGUUGCUUAAACCCCAAAAGUCAAUUACCAAGGUUGUCGAUGAUGACUAUACGAUCUUUGAAUAAUGAAGACUUCUAUUUCAUAUGUCCGGAGAUCCUUUGCAGUGGAAUGGAAAAAACUUGGCAAGUCAAGAAUUCAAACAGAGCAUCGGUUAUCAGUUAUUGAGGUGUUCCUCUGUUUUUGAUGCCAAUAUCCACACACCAGUUUCUCAACUUUAUGGGGAGAUCCUAGAAGAUAAUGGUAUUGACUUGGCAGAAAUGAAGGUUUUGAGGAGGAAGAUGGAGGAGAUAGCAAUCUUUGUAAAGCAGGGCAGUACUACCACUUAAUUUGCCCAAUUAGUUAAAAGUACAUUAAACAUGGUGUGUUAUAUAUUUGUUUAUUAAAACAGAAGAAAAGUGGAUUGGAUCAUUCUUUUUUCUUCCAGUAUAAAUGUUUAUUUAUGUUUUGCUUUUCUUUUUACUGUAGUGCAAAGGUGGGGAUUCAGAGGAGAAGAGCUUAUCCCU